UUAUCGGGACCUGUCGCUUGUUGAAGAGCCCGCGUCCUAUCAGCUUGUUGGUGAGGUAACGGCUCACCAAGGCUUACGGGUAGCUGGUCUGAGAGGAUGAUCAGUCACACUGGGACUGAGACACUGCCCAGACUCCUACGGGAGGCUGCAGUCGAGGAUCAUUCGCAAUGCGCGAAAGCGUGACGAUGCGACGCUGCGUGGAGGAUGACGGCCUUCGGGUUGUAAACUCCUGUCAUCCGGGAACAAUGGCAUAUGGGUCAAUACCCCGUGUGUUUGAUGGUACCGGAAGAGGAAGCCACGGCUAACUCUGUGCCAGCAGCCGCGGUAAUACAGAGGUGGCGAGCGUUGUUCGGAUUUACUGGGCGUAAAGAGUGCGUAGGUGGUCUUGUGUGUCGGAUGUGAAAUCUUACCGCUCAACGGUGAAACUGCAUUCGAAACUGCAAGACUAGAGUGCAGGAGAGGAAAGCGGAAUUCUUGGUGUAGCGGUGGAAUGCGUUGAUAUCAAGAAGAACACCGGCGGCGAAGGCGGCUUUCUGGAAUGCUACUGACACUGAGGCACGAAAGUUGGGGGAGUGAACAGGAUUAGAUACCCUGGUAAUCCCAACCGUAAACGAUGUUCACUUGGUGUAGGGAGAUUUGACCCUCUCUGUGCCGGAGCUAACGCGAUAAGUGAACCGCCUGGGGAGUACGGCCGCAAGGCUAAAACUCAAAGAAAUUGACGGGGGCCCGCACAAGCGGAGGAGCAUGUGGCUCAAUUCGAUGCAACGCGAAGAACCUUACCAGGGCUUGACAUGCAGCUGCACGCCCCGAGAAAUCGGGGAAGCCUUCGAGGGUGCUGCACAGGUGCUGCAUGGCUGUCGUCAGUUCGUGCCGUGAGGUGUUGGGUUAAGUCCCGCAACGAACGCAACCCUUGUGUCUAGUUGCCACUGCAGGUGAUGAGCCUGCAAGCACUCUAGACAGACUGCCCGUGCAAGCGGGAGGAAGGUGAGGAUGACGUCAAGUCAGUAUGGCCCUUAUGUCCUGGGCUGCACACGUGCUACAAUGGCCGGUACAGUGGGAUGCAAUACCGCGAGGUGGAGCCAAUCCUCAAAGCCGGCCCCAGUUCGGAUUGGAGUCUGCAAUUCGACUCCAUGAAGCUGGAUUCGCUAGUAAUGGCGCAUCAGCUACGGCGCCGUGAAUACGUUCCCGGGCCUUGUACACACCGCCCGUCACAUCAUGAAAGCCUUCUGCACCCGAAGUCGCUGAUCCAACCCGCUUUUCGUGGGGGGAAUGCGCCGAAGGUGUUGGGGGUGAUUGGGAUGAAGUCGUAACAAGGUAACCUUAAUUAAAA
rnacentral:rRNA from 1 species